UACGUAGGUGGCAAGCGUUGUCCGGAAUUAUUGGGCGUAAAGCGCGCGCAGGCGGUCCUUUAAGUCUGAUGUGAAAGCCCACGGCUUAACCGUGGAGGGUCAUUGGAAACUGGGGGACUUGAGUACAGAAGAGGAGAGUGGAAUUCCACGUGUAGCGGUGAAAUGCGUAGGGAUGUGGAGGAACACCAGUGGCGAAGGCGACUCUCUGGUCUGUAACUGACGCUGAGGCGCGAAAGCGUGGGUAGCGAACAGG
rnacentral:rRNA from 1 species